rnacentral:rRNA from 1 species
GGAUGCGAUCAUACCAGCACUAAAGCACCGGAUCCCAUCAGAACUCCGAAGUUCAGCGUGCUUGGGCGAGGGUAGUACUAGGAUGGGUGACCUCCUGGGAAGUCCUCGUGUUGCAUUCC